UACGUAGGGUGCAAGCGUUAAUCGGAAUUACUGGGCGUAAAGCGUGCGCAGGCGGUUUUGUAAGUCUGUCGUGAAAUCCCCGGGCUCAACCUGGGAAUUGCGAUGGAGACUGCAAGGCUAGAAUCUGGCAGAGGGGGGGUAGAAUUCCACGUGUAGCAGUGAAAUGCGUAGAGAUGUGGAGGAACACCGAUGGCGAAGGCAGCCCCCUGGGUCAAGAUUGCGCUCAUGGCACGAAAGCGUGGGGAGCAAACAAGGU
rnacentral:rRNA from 1 species